ACAUGCCUACAAAAUAGUGUUAAUGCACCAGAUCCCAUUAGAACUCCGUAGUUAAGCAUGCCCAGGCUAGAGUAGUACUGGGAUGGGUGACCACUCAGGAAGUCCUAGUGUUUUACAUGAC
rnacentral:rRNA from 1 species